rnacentral:rRNA from 1 species
UACGUAUGGAGCGAGCGUUGUCCGGAAUUAUUGGGCGUAAAGGGUACGCAGGCGGUUUAAUAAGUCGAAUGUUAAAGAUCGGGGCUCAACCCCGUAAAGCAUUGGAAACUGAUAAACUUGAGUAGUGGAGAGGAAAGUGGAAUUCCUAGUGUAGUGGUGAAAUACGUAGAUAUUAGGAGGAAUACCAGUAGCGAAGGCGACUUUCUGGACACAAACUGACGCUGAGGUACGAAAGCGUGGGGAGCAAACAGGAUUAGAUACCC